GAAAAUGAUGUAUUGGCGAAGUCGCCGACUUGAAAAUAAAGUACGAUAAAAAAGUAGAUUUUUUGUAUUGAUUGAUGUGUUGUUUUACAAAUCUCUAAAGAUGGCUAUUUAUAGCUUGUUACAACUGAUUUUCUAACCAACUCGGAUCUAUCUCUAAUUUUAAACGAAAAUGAAUAUUUACAAACACAACUCGUAUCGGAGUUGGUUAUCAUACUCCCACGGGCCAAACUUUCUCUAUCUUCUUUUUCUAG
rnacentral:lncRNA from 1 species